GUGAAUAUGUCAAUGUCUCAAUUCUUUACAAAAGUAAAUUGUUUAAUAAUGAGUGUUUUGUGAGUUAGGGCUAGUGCAGAGAUGACAGAGAAAAUGUUUGAGCGAGAGAGAUGAAAGAGAAAGGGUUGAGAGGAAUGAAGGAGGUAAGUAAGGGUUUGAGGUUUCUUUUUUUAGUUUUGAGAAUGAAAAUUAUUAAAAUAAGGCAAGUGUUUUUGAUUUUUUUCAAUUGGAGCUAGAGGAGGGAUGACAGAGAAAAGGUUGGAGUGAAAGAGAUGAAAGAGAAAGGGUUGAGAGGAAUGAGAGAGGUGGAUAAGGGUUUGGGGGGUUUCUUUUUUUUUUUUU
rnacentral:lncRNA from 1 species